CUGUAUAGUUCAUUCAGUUUCUUCGUGCCACGAGCGGCUGCAAAUCAAACCAAGCGAUCAUUCAUUUGCUUAGGCUGAGAACGUUUGAACAAUAGGUAGACUUCACAAUUAAGAGAUUAGUCCAUGAAAGAGUUAUCUUGAUGUCAGAGAGGCCAUUGAUGUUUUAAGGAAUUGCCUUGGUGACGAGAAGAAG